rnacentral:rRNA from 1 species
UACACUGAUGCAGUCAGCGAGCAUACUGUACCUGCGCCGGGAGGCGUGGGCAAUCUUGUGAAACUGCAUCGUGCUGGGGAUAGAUCUUUGUAAUUAUCGAUCUUGAACGAGGAAUUCCUAGUAAGCACGAUUCAUCAGAUCGUGUUGAUUACGUCCCUGCCCUUUGUACACACCGAANNU